rnacentral:rRNA from 1 species
CCUACGAGGGGCAGCAGUGAGGAAUAUUGGUCAAUGGGCGAGAGCCUGAACCAGCCAAGUCGCGUGAAGGAUGACGGAUCUAUGGUUUGUAAACUUCUUUUAUAUGGGAAUAAAGUGAGGAACGUGUUCCUUUUUGUAUGUACCAUAUGAAUAAGCAUCGGCUAACUCCGUGCCAGCAGCCGCGGUAAUACGGAGGAUGCGAGCGUUAUCCGGAUUUAUUGGGUUUAAAGGGUGCGUAGGUGGUUAAUUAAGUCAGGGGUGAAAGGUUGUGGCUCAACCAUAAAAUUGCCGUUGAAACUGGUUGACUUGAGUAUAUUUGAGGUAGGCGGAAUGCGUGGUGUAGCGGUGAAAUGCAUAGAUAUCACGCAGAACUCCGAUUGCGAAGGCAGCUUACUAAACUAUAACUGACACUGAAGCACGAAAGCGUGGGGAUCAAACAGGAUUAGAUACCCGGGUAGUC